rnacentral:pre_miRNA from 1 species
UUAAUACUCUCUCCGUUCUGAAUUACUUGUCGCACAUAUGGAUGUAUCUAGAUGUAUUUUAGUUCUAGAUACAUCCAUUUCAGCGACGAGUAAUUUGGAACGGAGGGAGUAUGAC